AGCCCUUUUUCUUAGAGGUAGGUGGGACUUGCUGUCUUCUCUUUGCCAAAGGUCUGAUACCCCCUGAUUUUUGAAUCCUCUGGGGACUUUUAUCUCUGCUCUAUCUUUGGAGCUGCUCUUUUUUGGCUUCCCACUGACACGAAAUCGGCUGUUCCUGUGUUUUACAAUCCCUGGGAUGUGCCGUGGGAUCUGUAAUUAACACCUGGCCCGGGCUCUUUGUUUUCCUGGAUGAGCAUUUCAGGGAGGAUUUGGCCUCCCCAGGGGGUUGUGGUGGCUCCUGUUGGCACCUCCAGCAGAGCAGCAGCUGAGCUGAGAGUACUAAACUUUCCUGAAGAUUUUUCCAAUAAAACCACAGCUCAGAAGUGUUUUUUUGGGGGGUGUUUUAGUUUGUACAGGAUGCUCUGAGAUACCUGGUUAUAUUUUGCUGGCUUUUGCCAGACACCCAAGUGGAAUAUUUUGGUUUUUUGCUUUACUUUUCCGCUUUUCCUCCGCUUCCCUUUACCAGGCUUUUAGUUCUGACUUAACAUCCCAAUGACUUUUAUCCAUGCUAAUGAUUUACUGGUAAAAAAUGUUUUUUAAACAGUAAUAAUUCUUCACCAUUUUGCUAAAGCCUGAGGUUUAGUUAAGUUUUGAUAAGGGAUAAAACUUAGAGAAUGGUUUGGGUUGGAAGGACCUCAAAGCUCAUCCCAUGGGCAGGGACACUUUCCACUCUCCAAGGUUGCUCCAAGCCCUGUCCAACCUGGCCUUGGACACUUCCAGGACCCAAACCAGGAACCAAGGGCAGGUUCCAGAAGGAAAACCAUCUCCCAAAGCCAACAGAUUGGAUAACUUUUACCCUGAGGAACAGGGGAAUUAAUUAACAAGCCAGGAUUAAUGAGGGAAGUUGAUGAGAGUGGGGCUGUUUGCAGGAUAAUUUAUAACAGGCUGUGUAAAUAAACUCUUGAAGGCAGGAAUCAGCCCUUGCUCUGUUUGAGAAGUGGAGCUGCCUCUCAGUUCCUCCCCAGAUAUUUCUAUAAUUCCCAGUAUAACAUAGAAUUAGUUGUGUUAGGAACAGUUUUGAAGUUAUGGAAUCAUACCUGUGUGUGUGGAAUGGCACCUGGGUAUUAGUGGGGAAUAAAUGCAGAGAACUGUUGCAGAGAGGAUCACCAAACAUAGGAAUUCAUUCAUGGUUUUUUCCCCUUUUGUGUCUCUUGUUCCCUGCUGGGUUCUGCCCUUCUGACUCAAAUCACCUUGAUUUCUCCUCCUGCAAAGAUGCUGAACUACUUUAAAUUUUCUAUGAAAAGGCAGGAUUUAUGAAAACCCAUAUAAUUAUAGCUGGAUAACUUAACAUGGAUUUUUUUUCUUCUGUGGAGUUCUUUCUUUGCUGAUUAAACAGACUUUCUACCCUUUCUGGUGUCAGGGAUGGAAGGUUGGGGGUGAAACUCUGUCUUUUCACAGGCAGGGCUUGACAGCUGCUCUCAGCCUCCCUCUUUUUAACCCUGUCUUUAAAUAAAAUUUAAUAAAAGCUUUCCAAGGGUUCUGGUUACACUUGAGGUGAGUUUAUCACUCCAACCUUCCAUCAGCUCUUAUCCUGCUUCCCUACAGCCUCCAGUGAGGUUGAGAUCCCUUUGCCAUGGGGAGUUUGAGGUGAUGGAUGACAAUUGCAGGCAUAAACAAGUCACUAUUUAUUACACUAUUUAUUAUUAUUGUUGUUAUUAAUAUGAUGGUGGUGUUGUUUGGGGUUAGAUUAAAAAGCAAAAGGGUGUUUUCCUCUCUGAAAUUGGGUUUAGUGCCCCCUGGGCUUUGCAAAGCCAAUAAAUAAGUUGUUUUCCUCAGCCAAGCCUGUGACCUGGAUGACUUGAGCAAUCCUGAUGUGUUGGCAGAUUUUCCUGGAGCACAAAAGGAGCAGCAGGGGCUGGGAUAACACUGAUCUCAGUGUGUUCAAGCACUGCAAUAUCAACAGGGUCCAAAAUAUGAAUCCUGUGACACCCGAGAGUGGUGUCUUGUAGAGGUCCCCACACAAAAAAAAAGGUGAAAAGUGGGAGAUUUCCAGAGACACAAAUGGGAGCUGAACUUUUGACAGCUGGACUUGAUCCUCUCAGAGAUCUUUUCCAAUAAUCCUGGAUAUUUUGGAUAAUUUCCAAUUAUCCAAAAGCUGUUACCUUUUGGUGGGAGGUAGGUGUUUAAUUCCACAUAAAUAGGUUUUUCAUCAGGAAAACAAGGAAUAAAUUCCCUUCAAAAUACAAGCCAUACUCAAAUCCUGAAUGCUGUUCCCUUAUCCAUGUUUUCAGGUAAUAAAGGUGUGGUAAUUAAACAGCACAACCCAAUUUUCAUGUCACCAUCCCCUGGAAGCUCUGUGAGGACUUACAACCUCGAGAUGGGACAAAACAAAGGCUUGGUCCCUUCCUCUGGAAAACUGGCUGGAAUCCCCUGGGUCGCUGCUUGGACACAUCUGAGUCCAUCAGUUGGGAAUGAGCAGCUUUCCUGUGUGGGGGGCAGGCCCAACUUCCACUGAACUCCAGAAUUCAUCAACUAUCACAAAAUUAUUCCUGGGGUGGGCCCAGGAAGGGGGCUCUGAAGCCUCUUUGGAAUGGGGACCACAGGGAAAAUUAGAAGAUCCAGAAUGAAGGGACCUCAAAGCCCAUCCAGUUCCACCCCCUGCCGUGGGCAGGAACCCCUUCCACUAUCCCAGAGUGCUCCAACCUGGCCUGGGACACUUCCAAGGAAAAUCAUGUUCUGCUGAAGCUUGUUUGAGGCUGGGAAUGUUUUGUAUCUGUCACACCUGCACAGUCCUUUUCUCACGUUGGUGUUACUUUUUGGGAUCUGUAUAAACCAUAUUUCUGUAACUAUUAGUACUUAGUUAAAGGAAAGCAGAGUGUCCAUAUGGGAAUGCUGUUCUGACCCAUGGCUAAUCCCUUUUUACCUCAGAAAACAGCACUUAAAACUGCUGAGGCUCUUUUAUACCUUCACAUGGGUCAGUUUUAAAUCCAUAUCACAACAUAAAUCAAGAGAUACUGACUUAAGAACUUAUUUAUAUAAAGCUAGAUGGGAAAAAUCUGUUUAUUUAUGCUACCAGAUGUGAUCAACAGAAGCACAAGGCAAUGGGGCUGCCAUAAAAUGAAGUUCUGGAGGAAAAUAUUAAUCAAAACCCCAAAAGGGUUUCCAGCCCUUCUCUUGUCUCUGCUCAGCAAGUGUCAAAGGGAAAGUUUGUCCUCAUUUUGCAGCCUGAGAAAAGGCACCUCUGCUGAGUUCCUGCUGAGCUGGAAAAGGUUAUGUUCAAACUGCUCCACUGCAGAAAAGCCACGUUUAAUUGGGAUUCUCCUCUCCUGGGAGCUCUCCCUCGGUGAGGGAAGGGAAAUCUCUGCCUUUGCUGCAGCAUCAGAGAUGGGGGGGGACACCCAGUGCUGGCACCAAGGAGGGCAGAGGAGCUGAGUCAGGGCUGCUCCAGAGGGUGGGAAGUCUCCAAGGAGCUUCCUGGGGAAGGCCUGGCUGGAGGAUGGUCUGGGAGAUGCUGAAGGAAGGAGGGAUGUGCUUUAAGUAAGGCAGUUUCUUCCCUCCAGCUCGUAGGACAAGAUGUAACACCCAUCUAAGUGGUCUGGGAACAGCAGAGCUGCCUUAAUGGGGGUUUUCUGAGCUGACCUUUUGUUUGCUGGUGAUUUGGCUGAUUCUUUCCUUUUUUUUCCCCCCAAAAAAGCUAUACAGCUCAUUGCAGCAGUCUGAAAGUUAUUUUCUUUCUAAGCAUUUGCAGGGUGAAGGGCUCUGUGUGCUGCUCACAAGGCAUUUUCCUGAUGGAUGUCCCACAUCAUCUUACACAUCUUCCCAGAAAAUCUGGGAAUGGCUGCCCCAUUCCUGGGAGUGUCCAAGGCCAGACUGGACAGGGCUUGGAGCAACCUGGGAUGGUGGGAGGUGUCCCUGCCCAUGGCAGGGAGUGGCACUGGAUGGGCUUUAAGGUCCUUUCAACCCAAACCAUUCUGUAAUUCUGUGAUUUUUAUCACUUAUCAAAAUUUAACAAAAACCUCAGGCCUUAACGAAAUGGUGACCAAUGAUAAUGUUUAAAACCCACUUUUUCCUAGUGAAUCAUUAGUAUGGAUAAAAGUCUAGGACCCUGAAGUCAGAACUAAAAGCCUGCUCAAAGGAAGUGGAGGAAAGGCUGCAAAGUAAACCCAAACCUUUCAGUGAUUCCGUGAUCUUGGCGUGUUUUUUUGGGCAAACAGGAGCUGCCCCCAACUUCUCCCCGUCACAGAAAAGUCACAACAACAUUAAAAUGCUGCUGUUGUCGUGGGCAGAGUGUUCUGGAAAGCUGGGGAAGGAAGGAGCAGCUGUAAUGAAGUGAUAUAUUGUUGGUCUUGGGGCUACAGUGGUUAAGGAGAAGUUAUAGCUCUGCCUAACAAGGAAAAAAGCAAUUUCUUAGACUUGAACUUUGCAAUAAUGAAAUGUGAAACCGUGUGUUGGAAUCACUUCUGUAGCUAAGGGCCAUCUGCUGCUGAUGGAUCAGAAUGUCCUCAGCUCCAAAGACAUUCACUGAAAGGCCCAGAAUAGUUUUUUUUGGAGUUUUAGAGCAUCUCGGGGUUACUCAUAACCAAUACCUCAAGCCAUAAACCCACUUUGAUUUGCAGGAAAAAUAGAAAGACUCCAACUCAGAAAGUAGAAAAGAAAAAAAAAGAGAAAAGAUGAAGUUGAAUUCAAGUCUGUAUUUGAGGCAGCAACACCAGGGAACGUACAGAGCUGUGCGUGGCUCUGAGAACAUCACGGAUGCAGCAUAAAAAACAGGAUUUUGCAGAGCUGCUUCUGCAGAACAUGGAUUAAAAAUAAGAGUAUCACCGUUUCCUUUUUACACCAGGCUCACCAGUAUUUAAGUGUGGCCCUUGUGUACUCCCCCUAAUGUGGCUGUAAGGAGGAUCUAGCAGAGUAAUUAGAGAUAAGCCACUUUUCAAUUAUCUGCUACCUGCUGCUACCCACUGGUGGACAUCAAUUCCUGGCAGAUAAUUUUAUCCUUGUGUUACUUGAGAACCUUUGGACAUCAUGUGCUUGACCUAAAUUUUUAAUGGCAUUAGGUAGGCCUAGUUAAAUAUAAAAAUAAGGAUUUUGGAGCACAGCUCUCUGUUAAAGUUCCUUGGGCUGUGUUUUUCUUGUGUUCGGCUCAGCAUGGGAAUGUUUUUUUGUUGUGCUUUGGCUACAGAAACUGGCUUUUAAACUUGAGCAUGAAUUGACUGACACAACCCAUUAGAAGCUGGGUUGGAGAAUGGGAGAGAGCACAGAAAACUCAUCAAAGGGAGUUAUGACCAUGGUUUUGACAAAGGAUAACAGUGAAAAACAAAGAAUAACAAUCCAUGGGACUGAACACAGAACAAACCUCACUCAUGAUGCAUCAUUUUUUGAACCCCUAAUAGCCCUGAAAUGUAAGGAUGUACAGUGUUUCCAGUGAAAAAACCCCAGAUAUAUUUCAAUUUUUCUAUUAGAAAUCAUUAUGAGGUGUUUCUUAAACUCAAAUCUAAACUCAUCCUCAUCCAAAUCAUGGAAUUUAAUACAGAAUGAGGUUUCUGCACUUAAACACUCUCAGGUUUUCUACUUUAUAAAGUUCCAGUUAAGAAAUAAAAUGUU